GAUGAAGAACGUAGCGAAAUGCGAUAAGUAAUGUGAAUUGCAGAAUUCAGUGAAUCAUCGAAUCUUUGAACGCACAUUGCGCCCCCUGGUAUUCCGGGGGGCAUGCCUGUUCGUGCGUCAUUUCACCACUCAAGCCUCGCUUGGUAUUGGGCAACGCGGUCCGCCGCGUGCCUCAAAUCGACCGGCUGGGUCUUCUGUCCCCUAAGCGUUGUGGAAACUAUUCGCUAAAGGGUGUUCGGGAGGCUACGCCGUAAAACAACCCCAUUUCUAAGGUUGACCUCGGAUCAGGUAGGGAUACCCGCUUAACUUAAGCAUAUCAAUAAGCGGAGGA
rnacentral:misc_RNA from 1 species